CUUGACCGAGCCCAGCAACAGCGGUUCCGUACGGUCCUGGCCGUACGUCGCGAGCAGCGCCUGCGCCUC
rnacentral:antisense_RNA from 1 species